rnacentral:rRNA from 1 species
AGAAUCAACGCUGGCGGCGUGCCUAACACAUGCAAGUCGAACGCGAAAGCCCCGAAAGGGGCAAGUAGAGUGGCAAACGGGUGAGUAACACGUGGGUGACCUGCCUUCGAGCGGGGGAUAACGUCCCGAAAGGGACGCUAAUACCGCAUGACAUCCUGCCUUUGAAGAGGUGGAGAUCAAAGCUGGGGAUCGCAAGACCUAGCACUCGAAGAGGGGCCCGCGCCUGAUUAGCUAGUUGGUGGGGUAACGGCUCACCAAGGCGACGAUCA